UUCGCAAUGCCCCGAAAGGGUGACGAAGCGACGCCGCGUGUGGGAAGAAGGCCUUCGGGUUGUAAACCACUGUCGGGAGUUAGGAAAUGCAGGUGCGUUAAUAGCGCACUUGCUUGACUAAGGCUCCAGAGGAAGCCACGGCUAACUCUGUGCCAGCAGCCGCGGUAAUACAGAGGCGGCAAGCGUUGUUCGGAAUUAUUGGGCGUAAAGAGCACGUAGGCGGCCUUGCAAGUCAGUUGUGAAAGCCUUCCGCUUAACGGAAGAACGGCAUCUGAUACUACAGGGCUUGAGUACGGGAGGGGAGAGUGGAACUUCUGGUGGAGCGGUGAAAUGCGUAGAUAUCAGAAGGAACGCCGGCGGCGAAAGCGACUCUCUGGUCCGAAACUGACGCUGAGUGUGCGAAAGCUAGGGGAGCAAACGGGAUUAGAUACCCCGGUAGUCCUAGCCGUAAACGAUGGGCACUAAGUAGAGGGGUUUUA
rnacentral:rRNA from 1 species